rnacentral:rRNA from 1 species
UACGAAGGGGGCUAGCGUUGCUCGGAAUCACUGGGCGUAAAGGGUGCGUAGGCGGCGCGGAAAGUUGGGUGUGAAAUCCCUCGGCUCAACCGAGGAACUGCGCCCAAAACUACCGUGCUCGAGGAAGAUAGAGGUGAGCGGAACUUAGGGUGGAGCGGUGAAAUGCGUUGAUAUCCUAAGGAACACCGGUGGCGAAAGCGGCUCACUGGAUCUUUUCUGACGCUGAGGCACGAAAGCUAGGGUAGCGAACGGG